AACGCGAAGAACCUUACCAGGGCUUGACAUGCGCGGCAUUGCUCCGGAGACGGGGCGUCCUUUGGGGCCGCGCACAGGUGGUGCAUGGUUGUCGUCAGCUCGUGUCGUGAGAUGUUGGGUUAAGUCCCGCAACGAGCGCAACCCUCGUCCUGUAUUGCCAGCAACGCCUUCGGGCGGUUGGGGACUUGCGGGAGACUGCCGGGGUCAACUCGGAGGAAGGUGGGGACGACGUCAAAUCAUCAUGCCCCUUAUGUCCUGGGCUGCACGCAUGCUACAAUGGCCGGUACAGAGGGCUGCGAUACCGCGAGGUGGGGCGAAUCCCUUAAAGCCGGUCUCAGUUCGGAUCGGGGUCUGCAACUCGACCCCGUGAAGUCGGAGUCGCUAGUAAUCGCAGAUCAGCAACGCUGCGGUGAAUACGUUCCCGGGCCUUGUACACACCGCUAGUC
rnacentral:rRNA from 1 species